UGGGCGCAGCCUGAUCCAGCAAUGCCGCGUGAGUGAUGAAGGCCUUCGGGUUGUAAACCUCUUUUGUCCGGGAAGAAAAUGACGGGGCCAAUAGAAUAAGCCCCUGCCAACUCCGUGCCAACAACCCCG
rnacentral:rRNA from 1 species